rnacentral:rRNA from 1 species
UACAGAGGUCUCAAGCGUUGUUCGGAUUCAUUGGGCGUAAAGGGUGUGUAGGUGGCGCCGUAAGUCGGGUGUGAAAUUUCGGAGCUUAACUCCGAAACUGCAUUCGAUACUGCGGUGCUUGAGGACUGGAGAGGAGACUGGAAUUCAUGGUGUAGCAGUGAAAUGCGUAGAGAUCAUGAGGAAGACCAGUGGCGAAGGCGGGUCUCUGGACAGUUCCUGACACUGAGACACGAAUGCCAGGGGAGCAAACGGG